rnacentral:rRNA from 1 species
CCUACGGGCGGCAGCAGUGAGGAAUAUUGGUCAAUGGGCUUACGCCUGAACCAGCCAAGUCGCGUGAGGGAAGACUGCCCUAUGGGUUGUAAACCUCUUUUGUCAGGGAGCAAUUGGCGCUACGUGUAGCGUUAUCGAGAGUACCUGAAGAAAAAGCAUCGGCUAACUCCGUGCCAGCAGCCGCGGUAAUACGGAGGAUGCGAGCUUUAUCCGGAUUUAUUGGGUUUAAGGGGUGCGUAGGCGGAAUGCCAAGUCAGCGGGAAAAUCGCGGGGCUCAACCUCGCUCCGCCGUUGAAACUGGCGUUCUUGAGUGGGCGAGAAGUAUGCGGAAUGCGUGGUGUAGCGGUGAAAUGCAUAGAUAUCACGCAGAACUCCGAUUGCGAAGGCAGCAUACCGGCGCCCAACUGACGCUGAAGCACGAAAGCGUGGGUAUCGAACAGGAUUAGAUACCCCAGUAGUC